UACAGAGGGUGCAAGCGUUGUUCGGAAUUAUUGGGCGUAAAGCGCGUGUAGGCGGCUUUGCAAGUCGGGUGUGAAAGCCCUCAGCUCAACUGAGGAAGUGCGCCCCGAAACUGCAGAGCUUGAGUGCCGGAGAGGGUGGCGGAAUUCCCCAAGUAGAGGUGAAAUUCGUAGAUAUGGGGGAGGAACACCGGUGGCGAAGGCGGC
rnacentral:rRNA from 1 species